UCCGGUUUGUCACCGGCGGUCUCCCUAGAGUUCCCAACUGAAUGAUGGCAACUAGGGACAAGGGUUGCGCUCGUUGCGGGACUUAACCCUACAUCUCACGACACGAGCUGACGACAGCCAUGCAGCACCUGUGUCGGCUCCUCUUGCGAGGUCGGUCCCCUUUCGGUUCCCUACCACCGACAUGUCAAACCCAGGUAAGGUUUUUCGCGUUGCGUCGAAUUGAACCACAUGCUCCACCGCUUGUGCGGGUCCCCGUCAAUUCCUUUGAGUUUUAAUCUUGCGACCGUACUCCCCAGGCGGGAUGCUUAUUGCGUUAGCUGCGCCACCAACGAGCAAGCUCGCUGACGGCUAGCACCCAUCGUUUACGGCUGGGACUAC
rnacentral:misc_RNA from 1 species